rnacentral:rRNA from 1 species
UGCUUCACACAUGCAAGUCGAGCGGAUGAAGUAGGUAGCUUGCUACUUAUGGAUUUAGCGGCGGACGGGUGAGUAAUAUAUAGGAAUCUGCCUUAGAGCGGGGAACAACAGACCGAAAGGUUUGCUAAUGCCCCAUAGGUAUGCAGUCUUCGGAUUGUUUAUUAAAGGAGUAAUCCACUCUAAGAUGAGCCUGUAUCCGAUUAGCUAGUUGGCGGGGUAAAGGCUCACCAAGGCUACGAUCGGUAGUUGGUCUGAGAGGAUGAUCAGCCACAAUGGGACUGAGACACGGCCCAUACUCCUACGGGAGGCAGCAGUGGGGAAUUUUACACAAUGGGGGAAACCCUGAUGUAGCGACACCGCGUGAACGAAGAAGCCUUUUGGGGUGUAAAGUUCUGUCGGCUGGAACGAAAAAAAUGACGGUACCAGCAAAGGAAGCAUCGGCUAACUACGUGCCAGCAGCCGCGGUAAGACGUAGGAUGCAAGCGUUGUCCGGAUUUAUUGGGCGUAAAGAGUUCGUAGGCGGUUAUUUAAGUCUGAUGUUAAAUACUGUGGCCCAACCACAGAACUGCAUUGGAUACUGGAUGACUUGAGUGCGGUAGAGGCAAGUGGAAUUCCCAGUGUAGCGGUGAAAUGCGUAGAUAUUGGGAAGAACACCAGUGGCGUAAGCGACUUGCUGGCCCGUAACUGACGCUGAGGAACGAAAGCCAGGGGAGCGAAUGGGAUUAGAUACCCCAGUAGUCCUGGCCGUAAACGAUGGAUACUAGGCGUUGUGGGUAUCGACCCCUGCAGUGCCGCAGCUAACGCGAUAAGUAUCCCGCCUGAAUAGUACGGCCGCAAGGUUAAAACUCAAA